UGUAAAAUGAAAACCCAUUGGACUUACGUACAUAGGUCAGAUCCCUUAAAAGGAUGGUUUGCAAACUUUUGUGAUCCUCAGAGUAAACUGGAAGGCUUAUAAAAUUUAGACUCUGGGUCAUGGCUUUAGAGGUUUAACAGUGUGGACUCUGCAUUUUCACAAGUAUUCCCUCUGUGCCCUAAAAGGUCCAAUUGCUUCCCACACGUGCACGUACACAUAUACACACACCGUUCUCUAUUUUAUGACCCUAAAUAGAAGCUGCAGUAACAGGCUGUAUCAACGGCCUCAACUUUUUGCUCCCGCCCUCACCUCCCCACCCCAUCCUCUAUAAAAUGACUGUAUUCCUCACUGAAAGAGGAGUCGAUUUCGCCUCCCUGGAACCUGGGUGAGGUUUGUAACCUGCUUGGCUAAUAAGGCAGCAGAAGCGAUGGUUUCUCAAUGCCAAGCCUUUAAGAGUCCUCGUAGGUUUCCACCUGCUCUCCUGCAUCUCUGCCAUCGCCGUGAGACUGACCUGAGUCAAUCUGAUACAGGAAAAGAGACACGUGGAACAAGCUUGAGUUGCCCCAGGCACCUCAGCCACAGUCAGCCAUUCUGAGCCAACACGCAGACUGAGGAACACGUCCAGCCAGGAUCAGCAGAGCGGCCCAGCCAACCUCCAGCUCAUCCCAGACAGGUGAGCAAUAAACACUUUUAUCGUAUGCCACCGUGCACUGGGGCUGUUUGUUAUGCAGCAGGACCUAACUCAUCCACUGCCGUCUUGCAAAGUGUCCACCAUCCCUCAAAGGAGGCAGCUGUUUGGGAAAAGAGAGACCAAAGGCAGUGGCUUUGCCUCCUUGCUGUUUAAAUGCUCUUCUCAUCAUUUUCCCACCGAUGAAAUGGGCACGCCAGUGUCUGCCCUCUCUGCUUGAUGAUACAAUUCAUAUGAAGGUGCUUUGUCGGCUGGAGUUCUGGGUAUCUCUGGAAGCACUUAGUGUCCCCCACGUGGUGCCAAGUCCUACAUACACAUUGUCUCAUUUAAUCCUCACGACCUUGUGUACUAGUAACAGACUGUGUACUCGGAAUAGGGUCCCUUCUGCCCUCAGCUCUCCUCGGACAGGUCUCAGCUUAACUGUCCUCUCGUCGAUGAGUCCUUCUCACCCACCCCGAGUUGCUGUCUUCACAUCACACUGUCCCCUUUGCAGAUUAUAUCCCAAUUUGUAAUUUUAUCUUUUUUUCUUGUCCAUUGCCUGUCUCUCCCCCGCUGUAAUGUAAACUCCAUGAGUGCAUGGGACUUUCAUGUCUGGCACAGCCCGUGUCUCCAGUGCCAGCCCAAUGAGUGGCACACAGUAGGUGUUCAACAACUAUCGGGUGAAUGGGAGGCCAAAUGGACCCACCUCAGCCCUAAGCAUUAUGCCAUUUUGCAGAUCCGGACACGAGACUUAAAGAGUCUAAGUAGCCUGCUCAGGCCUCUCGGCCCCUAAUUGCAGAGUCGGAUCGGAACCCAGGCCUGUCUGGUUCUGAGGCCCCUGAGUUUUACAUUGCGUGGCCCUGCCUCCCAGGGAGGGUUUGGCUGGUGACAGAGGACUGGGCCGUGGCCUUGGGUGGGAGCAAGAGAUGCAGUGAUCAGAACAGAGAAAGACAAGGAGCUCCCACCCCGCGGGCGAAGGGUCAGACCCUCAGCUCCUUAAAGCCAGACCCGCUCUGUAAUUAGCACACCCCAGACUCCCGGCAGAGAUGCUGCCCCGCUGUCUGUGAGGGACGGCCCAGCACCUCCCCCAGCCCCUUCCGCCUUCCAUUCCUGGGUCACUGCAAGUCCAGAAGCUCAGCGGGAACUGUGGCCGGAAGCGAGUGAGAGGAUGGAGCCUGAUGGGCUUUCGUGGAGGCUGGAAGCAUCUCAUCACACAGCCAGGUGUGGCGAAACCAUAAAGAUACUUCUAGUCUGUUGCAUUGGGUUAUAUUACAAGGCCAGCUGGAGAGAGGGGAUCUGGAAAUCUGACAAGGGAGGAACAAAGCGCACGUGUGAACUCCCUCACCAGUGAGGACGUUAGACUUUACUCCUUUUUAUCUUAUUUACAUCAUGCCCAACGGACCCAUAUAAGAAAGACGAGAUGAGAGGGAGGUGGAAUCAUGGCCCCCAAAGAUGUCCACAUUUUAAUCCCCAGGAGCUGUGAAUAUGUUGCCUUACAUGGAAGGGACUUUGUAGGUGUGAUUAAGAAUCUUGAGAUGGGAGGUUAAUCCCGUAUUAUGAGGGUGAGCCCAGUGUAACCACAGGGUCCUUCUAACAGGGAGGCAGGAGGUCAGAGAGAAGAGAAGAUGCUGUGCUGCCAGCUUUGAAGAUGGAGGGAGGGGCCAUGUGCCAAGGACCGUGGGUAGACUCUAGAAGUUGGCAUAUGCUCCCAAACAGAGAACACAGAUUCUCCUCCCUGGGCCUCCAGAAGGAAGCAGCCCCGCCGACACCCAGUGACACUUACCUGAGACUUCUGACCCACAGGAAUGUGAGGUACACAUUCAUGUUGUUUAAGCCACUGUGUUCGUGAUCUCUUACAGCAGCAAUAGGACACAAUGACAAGGUUGAAAGUAGACUACGAAGCAAAUACCCUCAGUGGUACUCAACUGAUUCAGGUGGUACCAAAAGCCACAUCACAUAGAAGGAAGUUGUCUCCUCUGCUCUCUUACAGCCUUCUGAUUCCGUCGAGCAGAUCCAGAUGAGAUCUCUAGCUGGCUUGGCCUUGCAUGGCCAAAGGAACCGAGAGCAGCCUGGGACUAUCGAACCCUGUGAGGUACUUCUGAGACCCUAGGCCUCAUGCCCACAGGAGGGAGCAAAGGG
ensembl:lncRNA